UACAGAGGGUGCGAGCGUUGUUCGGAAUUAUUGGGCGUAAAGGGCGCGUAGGCGGUGCGGUAAGUCAGGCGUGAAAGCCCCGGGCUUAACCUGGGAAUGGCGCUUGAAACUACGGGACUGGAGUAUGGCAGAGGGAGGUGGAAUUCCACGUGUAGCGGUGAAAUGCGUAGAGAUGUGGAGGAACACCGAUGGCGAAGGCAGCCUCCUGGGCCAAUACUGACGCUCAUGCACGAAAGCGUGGGGAGCAAACAGG
rnacentral:rRNA from 1 species